GCGUGUUACUUCUUCUUUACAGGUGGCACUAGAGUCAACCUACGGUGGCAGAGGAGUUGGUGGUGGCAGAAAGGUGUUAAACGUCACGUGGAGGCGACGACACGAAGAGGCUAGGGUUUCUGCCCCUUUUUUUUUUCUUUUUUUGAAAAUAUUAAGUGUUUUGGCCUGUUUGGGCCAUCAGGAUGUUUAGGGCUGGUAGUUUUUUUUUUUUUUUGUAAUUGGAUUUUGGACAUUGGGCUUUGGUUGUUAUUUUGGUUUGGUUUGUAAUUUAUUCGUAAAUUAGGCCCGGGCAAAAUUGGGCCAUUACAGUUAGCAUUUUUUUGAAAUAGGCAUAAUGACUUAUUUGACCUUCUAGCUUAAAAAAAAGGUAAUUUUAGCUUUCCAUAUAAUUUUUCACUUUUUUUCAACCUUUAAACUUGUGUUAUUUGUCAAAUCACC
rnacentral:lncRNA from 1 species